rnacentral:rRNA from 1 species
AUACGAAGGGUGCAAGCGUUAAUCGGAAUUACUGGGCGUAAAGCGAGCGUAGGUGGUUCAGCAAGUUGGAUGUGAAAGCCCAGGGCUCAACCUGGGAACUGCAUCCAAAACUACUGAGCUAGAGUACUGUAGAGGGUGGUGGAAUUUCCUGUGUAGCGGUGAAAUGCGUAGAUAUAGGAAGGAACACCAGUGGCGUAGGCGACCGACUGGAAGAACACAGACACUUAGUCGCGUGCGCGUGGCGACCAAAAUGGGUGAUGUAGCCUCUACAACAACGACGUCAACAAUGACAACUAGAUGGUGGGGUUCAAGAGCACUUAGUACCGAAGCUAACGCCAUAAGUUCACCACCUGGGGAGUACGGCCGCAAGGCUAAAACUCAAAUGAAUUGACGGGU